GGGAAGAAAUGGGCUACAUUUUCUAGCAUAGAAUAUUACGAACAUGCACCAUGAAACAGUGCUUGAAGGAGGAUUUAGUAGUAAAAGGGAAAUAGAGUGUCCCUUUGAACCCGGCUCUGAGACGCGUACACACCGCCCGUCACUCUCCCCUGUCAAAAUGCACCAAAAAUAUCUAAUAUAAUAGCACUGACAAGGGGAGGCAAGUCGUAACACGGUAAGUGUACCGGAAGGUGCACUUGGAUCAAACCCAGGGUGUGGCUGAGUUAGUCAAGCAUCUCACUUACACCGAGAAGACAUCCAUGCAAGUUGGAUCGCCCUGAG
rnacentral:rRNA from 1 species